rnacentral:rRNA from 1 species
AGUCACUGCUAUUGGGAUUUGACUAAGCCAUGCGAGUCGAGAGGGUUCGGCCCUCGGCUGACGGCUCAGUAACACGUGGAUAAUCUGCCCUUAGGUGGAGGAUACCCUCGGGAAACUGAGAAUAAUACUCCAUAGGCCUAGGAUGCUGGAAUGCAUCUAGGCUCAAAGCUCCGGCGCCUAAGGAUGAGUCUGCGGACUAUCAGGUUGUAGUCAGGGUAAUGGCCUGACUAGCCUACGACGGAUAUGGGUUGUGAGAGCAAUAACCCAGAGAUGAUAUCUGAGACACGAUAUCAGGCCCUACGGGGCGCAGCAGGCGCGAAAACUUCACACUGUGCGAAAGCGCGAUGAGGGAAUCCCAAGUGCUUGCUCGUAAGAGUAAGCUGUUUUUAUGUUUAAAACGCAUAGAGAGUAAGAGCUGGGUAAGACGGGUGCCAGCCGCCGCGGUAAUACCUGCAGCUCGAGUGGUGGCCGCUAUUAUUGGGCCUAAAACGUCCGUAGCCGGUUUAAUAAAUGCCUGGGUAAAUCGUGUAGCUCAACUAUACGAAUUCCGGGUAGACUGUUAAACUUGGGACUGGGAGAAGCUAGAGGUACUCCUGGGGUAGAGGUGAAAUUCUGUAAUCCUAGGGGGACCACCAGUGGCGAAGGCGUCUAGCUAGAACGGGUCUGACGGUGAGGGACGAAGCCCUGGGGCGCAAACCGGAUUAGAUACCCGGGUAGUCCAGGGUGUAAACGCUGCUUGCUUGAUGUUAGUCGGGCUCCGAGCCCGAUUAGUGUCGGAGAGAAGUUGUUAAGCAAGCUGCCUGGGAAGUACGGCGCAAGACUGAAACUUAAAAGAAUUGGCGGGGGAGCACAACACCGGUGGAGCGUGGCGGUUUU